rnacentral:rRNA from 1 species
UAGGGAAUUUUGCGCAAUGGACGAAAGUCUGACGCAGCAACGCCGUGUGAGGGAUGAAGCAUUUCGGUGUGUAAACCUCUGUCGUUGGUGACUAAAGUUUUCAGGAGUGGAAAGCCUGGAGAUUGAAUGUAGCCAAGAAGGAAGCACUGGCUAACUCUGUGCCAGCAGCCGCGGUAAUACAGGGAGUGCAAGCGUUGUUCGGAAUUACUGGGCGUAAAGGGAGCGUAGGCGGAGCUACAAGUCAGGGGUUAAAGAUCCGGGCUCAACCUGGAAAGUGCCUUUGAGACUGUAGUUCUUGAGUAUGGCAGAGGCUAGCGGAAUUACCGGUGUAGCGGUGGAAUGCGUAGAUAUCGGUAAGAACACCAGAGGCGAAGGCGGCUAGCUGGGCCAAUACUGACGCUGAGGCUCGAAAGUGUGGGGAGCAAACA